rnacentral:tRNA from 1 species
UCCCUGGUGGUCUAGUGGUUAGGAUUCAGUGCUUUCACUGCUGUGACCCAGGUUCAAUCCCUGGUUGGGGAA